UACGGAGGAUGCGAGCGUUAUCCGGAUUUAUUGGGUUUAAAGGGUGCGUAGGCCGUUUCUUAAGUCAGCGGUGAAAGCCCGGGGCUCAACCCCGGCGAGCCGUUGAAACUGGGAAGCUGGAGAGGAAGAGAGGCAGGCGGAAUUCGCGGUGUAGCGGUGAAAUGCUUAGAUAUCGCGAAGAACUCCGAUUGCGAAGGCAGCCUGCCGGCUUCUGUCUGACGCUGAGGCACGAAAGCGUGGGGAUCGAACAGG
rnacentral:rRNA from 1 species